UUCCGCUGCACACGCGAAUCCCGCCAACGUCAAUAAAUGUACUGCCGAAAGCUCCAGAAGGCCGAGGCUGCGGGGUGUCCGCUUCGAACAACUGACAACCGCAGGAGAACCGAACACUCCUCCAGUGCGUGCGACAGCGCGCGAGUGACGCUCCCGGGUCUCUGAUUGGCCAGGAUCUCAUGCACGCAAGGGCUUUGUCCAAUCGCGAAAGGGGGAAGACGUCACACCAUUCACCCGAUUAUGCCGAGGACUCCUCUGGAGACGGUCAAGUAACAGCUGCUUUGCCCCUUCACAUGAGUGUCAGAGGACAAGCACAGGUGGAACAGCAUCCUGAAAAACAGCAAAGGGAAAGACACCACCAGCCUGGACAAGGAAGCUCAACUAAGGAGCUCACAUGGACAAUCACAACCACACACCAAGGCAUAAGCGAAGAACCAGAUCUGAAAUCACAUUCUGCUAGAGAAAGGAAGAGGGAGAGAAAGAGAGAGAGAGAAACAUGAACAAAGUGGUAAAUUAAAGCCUAAAUAAAAAUGGAAACCUUCACACUUUAUCUGAGCGGGAAAAAAAUCUGCAACAAGAGUCAUACUACUUAGAAAGUGUGCUGUUGACAUCAGUGAAAAGUGUUAACUGCUGCUUAUGAUAGAGGCCAUGACAAGGCUUGGUGAAAACAAGUUGUUUUACCACUAAGCAUAUCUACAUAGCACAAAAUCAGUGUGAGCCAAAUGUACAGCUGAUCAGAGUGAAGAAAGGGAGGGGAAAAAAACAAAAAAA